rnacentral:rRNA from 1 species
GUUGCCACCACGAGAGUGGGGACUCAGGCGGAACUGCCGGUGACAAACCGGAGGAAGGUGGGGACGACGUCAAGUCAUCAUGGCCCUUAUGUCCUGGGCUACACACGUGCUACAAUGGCCGGUACAGAGCGCAGCGAGGCCGCGAGGCGGAGCGAAUCGCUUAAAGCCGGUCCCAGUACGGAUUGGAGUCUGCAACCCGACUCCAUGAAGUUGGAAUCGCUAGUAAUCGCGCAUCAGCAUGGCGCGGUGAAUACGUUCCCGGGCCUU